AAUUAAUGAACUUGUAAAAGUAUUUGUUUUGAAAACUUAAAAAAGAAUAUAUAUAAUUCUAUUAAUUUA
rnacentral:tRNA from 1 species